rnacentral:rRNA from 1 species
UACGAAGGGGGCUAGCGUUGUUCGGAAUUACUGGGCGUAAAGCGCACGUAGGCGGAUAUUUAAGUUAGGGGUGAAAUCCCAGGGCUCAACCCUGGAACUGCCUUUAAUACUGGGUAUCUCGAGUCCGAGAGAGGUGAGUGGAAUUCCGAGUGUAGAGGUGAAAUUCGUAGAUAUUCGGAAGGAACACCAGUGGCGAAGGCGGCUCACUGGCUCGGUACUGACGCUGAGGUGCGAAAGCGUGGGGAGCAAACUA